GCCGAACUGUCCUAACGUUGUUCGGAAUCACUGGGCUUAAAGGGCGCGUAGGCGGUCCGACAAGUCAGGGGUGAAAUCCUGCAGCUUAACUGCAGAAGUGCCUUUGAUACUGUCGGUCUGGAGGGAGAUAGGGGUGUGCGGAACUCACAGUGGAGCGGUGAAAUGCGUUGAUAUUGUGAGGAACGCCGGAGGCGAAAGCGGCGCACUGGAUCUCUUCUGACGCUGAGGCGCGAAAGCUAGGGGAGCAAACGGG
rnacentral:rRNA from 1 species